GUGGCAAGGCGUGAGGGUUGUGUCUCAAAAAAAAAAAAUUCAGUCUCUUUCUCCGUGACGAAAAAAAAAAUCUCUCUCGACUUCUCUCGAAGGCGAUGGCGUCUGAGAAAAACCAGAGGAGAAUUUGCCGAGGGUCGAAGCAGUAAACGGGCAAAAGGGAGAGGGACUCGUUGUUGGCGGAGUUGAGACACUCGUUGUCGUGGACGCGGAGGUCUGAUCGAGUCCGUCUCUGAGCUCCGGAAGAAUCUUGAGGCGAGAGGGUCCAAUCUCGUUGUCAGGGUGGGGAGACCAGAAUCUGUUCUGGUGGAAUUGGCUAAGGAGAUCGGAGCAGACGCGAUUUACGCACACAGGGAAGUGUCUCACGACGGAGCGUUCAAGGAGGGUGAUUCAAUCUUUUUUUGUUCAAGGAGGUUGAGAAAUGUGGUGGGAAAGUCUCGAGCUCUGUUAAAGGGGUAACGUGUUUGGUGGUUUCACCGGCUGAAAGAGAGAGAGGUGGUUCCUCAAAACUGGUGGAAGCCAUGGAACAAGGUCUACCGGUUGUGAGCGAGGCGUGGUUGAUUGAUAGCAUUGAAAAACAAGAAGCUCAGCCACUUGAAGCAUAUGACGUGGUCAGUGAUCUCUCAGUGGAAGGGAAAGAAAUCCCAUGGGACAAGCAAGAUCCAAGCGAGGAAGCAAUUGAGUCCUUAUCAGCUGAGUGGAGACUGAAGUCAUGAGUUCUACAAGAAGACAAGUGUUCAUUGUUCUCACUGUUUUAGCUUUGGCAAUGCCGUUCAACUGCUUGAUUCCUCCUUCUCCAGGUUUUAAUGUCCCUGUUUUUUUUUGUGCUUGCCUUCUUUGGUUUUUAUGUAUUGCUAUAAGCUAUCAACACUUGUUUUCUCAGAUCAGUGAAUGUAGCGAAUUAGCAAUAUUGUUGGGUGAACUUAUUUUCUGAUGAACUUAGUAUUGAAUGCAGUUCUGGUCAGAUUUUCA